AUUCAGCGUCAGCGGCGUUCGGCGUCGUCGUCGUGCACUUCUCCCCUAGUAGAACGUCGCGACCCGUUGGGUGCCGGUCACGCGGCAGACCCUCGUUAAUCCGGCCGGCUGCCCGGCGGUCGAACAUAAGGUAUCUUGCCGCAAUUUAAAUGCGUCGGGCCCGUCGCAAGCGAGGCCAGGGACCCGGUGCCGUACCCGCGGCUGGCCGGCUGUUGGCAGGCGGAGUCCUUCGACGGGCAAUACACACCGAUACCGGUCUGCGACGCUACUGCUUUGGGUACUCUCAGGACCCGUCUUGAAACACGGACCAAGGAGUCUAACAUGUGCGCGAGUCAUUGGGACUGCAAGCCUAAAGGCGCAAUGAAAGUGAAGGUCGUCGACCGAGGGAGGAUGGGCCGCGUUUGCGCGCGGCUCCGCACUCCCGGGGCGUCUCGUUCUCAUUGCGAGAAGAGGCGCACCCAGAGCGUACACGUUGGGACCCGAAAGAUGGUGAACUAUGCCUGGUCAGGACGAAGUCAGGGGAAACCCUGAUGGAGGUCCGUAGCGAUUCUGACGUGCAAAUCGAUCGUCGGAACUGGGUAUAGGGGCGAAAGACUAAUCGAACCAUCUAGUAGCUGGUUCCCUCCGAAGUUUCCCUCAGGAUAGCUGGCACUCGUUCGUUUCUAAUAAAGGAGUCUCAUCUGGUAAAGCGAAUGAUUAGAGGCCUUGGGGCCGAAACGACCUCAACCUAUUCUCAAACUUUAAAUGGGUGAGAUCUCUGGCUUGCUUGAAAUAUGAAGCCACGAGAUCGGAUCAGAGUGCCAAGUGGGCCAAUUUUGGUAAGCAGAACUGGCGCUGUGGGAUGAACCAAACGCAAAGUUAAGGCGCCUAAGUCGACGCUUAUGGGAUACCAUGAAAGGCGUUGGUUGCUUAAGACAGCAGGACGGUGGCCAUGGAAGUUGGAAUCCGCUAAGGAGUGUGUAACAACUCACCUGCCGAAGCAACUAGCCCUGAAAAUGGAUGGCGCUGAAGCGUCGCGCCUAUACUCUGCCGUCAGCGGCAAGUGUGGCGGUUAGAAAUCGCUAUGAAGCCCUGACGAGUAGGAGGGUCGCGGCGGUGUGCGCAGAAGGGUCUGGGCGCGAGCCUGCCUGGAGCCGCCGUCGGUGCAGAUCUUGGUGGUAGUAGCAAAUACUCCAGCGAGGCCCUGGAGGACUGACGUGGAGAAGGGUUUCGUGUGAACAGCCGUUGCACACGAGUCAGUCGAUCCUAAGCCCUAGGAGAAAUCCUAUGUCGAUGACGGUGUGC
rnacentral:rRNA from 1 species